AGUCCUUGAAUUGCACAUCCCAGUAUCCAGCGUGCCCCCAAAUUUCAGUGAUGUACUCAGAGACACUGUCAGAAAUUUGUCCUUCCCUCAAACCAUCACCAAGUCUUUAACACUACAAAACCUGACCUUCACCACAUGGUGCUAUCCAAACUCCACUGGAGGAUUGCAGUGUCAGUGUGAGCAGCAGUUUGCUUGGUCAUGUGACAAGUGUAAUAAAUAUGGUUCAUGCAGUCAAGUCACCUCCCCAACCUGUGGGUGCAUAAAAGGGCUUCCUCCUGGUGGAGAGUUCUGUCAACCAAUCACAAAUGUUUCUUCAUGUCCAACA